rfam:Folsomia candida strain VT population Fcan01_Sc004, whole genome shotgun sequence.
GGCGUUGUGGGGAAAGUGGUAACUCGGUAGUCUGGUGAACGAAAAGUUGCCGGUUCGAUUCCGGUCAGCCCA